AAACAUAUAAUGUAUUUAAUAAAUAGAAUUCUCUGUAUAUCCUGUAUAUUAGGUCUAUAUGCUGUGCGCUACUGCACACUUCCAUCUCUAUAAAAACCACUGAAAAUGAACCAUUCGCUACUUUCCCACUUACCAAGUAUACACAUAGCAAAAAGAGACUAAAAGGAGCUUAAGCUGUUGGACUUGUACUCUUGUCUUUAAUGGCUUUUAAUAAUGUAUCCCGGGCAGUGGCGAUGAGUUUCUUCUUCUUGAUACCAGUGAUAAGCUUCAAAUAUUCCAAGGCUCAAAUGGUGCCAGCGCUGUUCGUUUUUGGUGACUCUCUAGUAGAUGUUGGCAACAACAAUUACCUUCCAUUUUCCAUUGCCAAAGCAGAUUUUCCUAAUAAUGGGAUCGACUACCCCGCCAGAAUACCAACUGGGAGGUUUAGUAAUGGCAAAGUUAUUGCAGAUUUUCUAGGUAAGUUUUAAAACAUUUCGCACUAUCCUCCUUUCAUCCCCUCCAACGGAAGCGUUUGAAUCCUCUUGAGCUUGGAAUCCUCUUGAGCUUGGAAAGUUCAUCUCCAUCUCAAAGGAUUCUGGAUAACAUAGAGCAAUUGAUCCAAGCUUGUAUUGAUUAUUCCUUUUUCACAUACCAAAUUUUUAAAAGGCUUGCCAGGGCUCCAAUAGGAGGACAGGGCACUUUACUGGCAGCUAUAGUAUUGAUUAUUUGAAACCUAACUCAACAAAUGUCCGGAGAAGCAUUAAAUUAUAAUUUCACAUAUUACUGUUGUACCUGCUACCUCUGCCCGUCUUUUAUUGCACGUGUAAACAUGGUUUCGCAAGCCAAUCCCAAUUAAUAGGGUCACCAUUACACUUCUUUGGUGCAGCUGAGAAAGUGGGCUUGCCGACUUCCCCACCAUACUUGUCUUUGUUAUCCAACAACAACAAAAGAUCGUUUCUGACUGGCGUAAACUUUGCCUCUGGAGCUUCAGGAAUCCUCAAUUCUACAGGUCAAUCCCUUGGUAUGGUAAUCCCUUUGACAAAACAAGUGGACUACUAUGCAUCUGUUCAUAAAGAUUUGCUGGAAAAGCUGGGGUCCUCUGGAGCACAAAAUUACUUGUCCAAGUCUCUCUUUGCUAUCGAUACUGGCAGCAAUGAUGUCUUAAGUUAUUCUGAUUCAUCUCAUCUCCGCGAGAAGAGCACCCCACAGCAAUACGUGGGUUUGAUGAUUCACACACUGAAAUCACAAAUGAAGAGAUUAUACAUUUAUGGUGCACGUAAAUUUCUGAUCCCUGGGGUGGCGAGCGUGGGAUGUGCUCCAUCGCGAAGGAUUGAGAAUAGAGCAGGAGAAUGCAACGAAGAACUAAAUGCUUUGUCUAUUAAGUAUAAUGAAGGCCUUAAGUCAAUGUUACUGAAGUUAAAAUCAAAGCUUAAGGACAUAAAUUACUCCUACUUUGAUGCUUACAGUUUCACGCAGAACAUCAUCCAGAAACCAGCUGCUUAUGGAUUUUCUGAGGUUAAAGCUGCUUGCUGUGGUCUCGGGAGGCUGAAUGCCGAUGUCCCCUGCAUUCCAAUUUCAACCUAUUGCUCCAAUAGAAGCAAUCAUGUGUUUUGGGAUAUAGUUCAUCCAACGGAGGCAACAGCUCGCCUUGUUGUGAAUACGAUCUUCGACGGUCCAUCACGGUACUCAUUUCCCAUUAAUAUAAAGCAGCUUAUCGCAGUUUAAGCCCAGCAAUAUGAAUGGCUAUCAUAUGUAUUCACUGAAAAAAUGUCUUUUCUUCCUAUCACAUCCACAGGUGCACCCGUUGUCCGAUACAGUGGGAUGAUUUUUUUUUCCUUUGUUUAAUUAAAUAAAUUACUAUAAAUUUUAUAAAAAUAACAAAAUUUUCCAUUGAAUAAUUAGGUUAUAAUAUUAUAUUCUUAAUCAUUUUAAAAUUUUAUUAAUAAUUAAAAUAAAUAUAAGGACUUUGAGAUUGAAGAUGUUUUAUAGGUUGAUCAUGUUAUAAAUUGUAAAGGUGAAAAUCACAUUGUUAAGUAGCAUUCAGUUGAAAUAAGAUCUCUAGUUAUUACAGUAAUUUUUGUCCUCAAUAUCAUAUGAUGAUUAAAGUUGAUCCAUGGAAACUGAGAAAGAUUCAUGAAUUUUUUUAAUGAAAUA
rnacentral:misc_RNA from 1 species